rnacentral:rRNA from 1 species
GGCGGGACACGUGGUAUCCUGUCUGAAUAUGGGGGGACCAUCCUCCAAGGCUAAAUACUCCUGACUGACCGAUAGUGAACCAGUACCGUGAGGGAAAGGCGAAAAGAACCCCUGUGAGGGGAGUGAAAUAGAACCUGAAACCGUGUACGUACAAGCAGUGGGAGCAGACUUGUUCUGUGACUGCGUACCUUUUGUAUAAUGGGUCAGCGACUUACAUUCUGUAGCGAGGUUAACCGAAUAGGGGAGCCGUAGGGAAACCGAGUCUUAACUGGGCGACUAGUUGCAGGGUGUAGACCCGAAACCGAGUGAUCUAGCCAUGGGCAGGUUGAAGGUGCCGUAACAGGUACUGGAGGACCGAACCCACUAAUGUUGCAAAAUUAGGGGAUGACCUGUGGCUAGGGGUGAAAGGCCAAUCAAACU